ACAUAACAAGAAGCACCUGUUCAACAACCUUUUCCCCCUCAAAACCGACCCGGCCCACACCCUUCACCCCUCCCUCAUACUCAUUCGUACCAACGAUAACAACUUCAACAGCGAAAACGACCCAAACAACAUCGAACAACAACUUCAACCAUCAACUACCGCAACAACAAUAGUCAACAGCAACUCGUGAACCCAACCGUCAAGCAACACCUCAUCAGCCAACAUUUAAAAUACACAAUUCAAGGAAAAAUUCAUACGAAUUACUACAGUUUCAGCUCACUAAUCCUUAUCCCUUGGUGGAUUUGAAAUUCCCCUCAAGAAAUUUUCCAAAAAACCCUUGAAAUUUUGUAUCCAACAUCGCCAAUUUCUCAAGAAUUGAAAUUUUUGGGGUUCUAUAUAAACCCCAUCCAUUCACUCUUAAAAGGGGUUGGAAGAAGAGAGGUUGGAUAGCAGAGAUCCCCAAUUUGUAAGGGAUUUUAGAUAUCAAAAGAGUCUUUAGCCCCUAGUCCCGUUUGCUGCACCGAAAAAGGUAAACAUAUUUUUCCUUUCGUUAUUUCAUCGUCUUCUUCCGUUCUCUUCGUACGAGUAGCGAUUUUAUAGUGAUGGUGGGAUUAUGUGUUGUAGAAACCUAGGAUUUUUUAUUAUUUUUCUUGUUGUUUCGUUAAUGUAAAGCUUCCUAAGCGAGAAUGAAAUUGGUGUAUUGAGUAAGGUCUUAAAGACCAUGUUUGAAUUCGUGUGCUUAUUUCUCUCUGAUUUGGUUAGCUGCUUAGGUAUUUAUUUUGAAAAAAAUGUGUUGUUAAGUUCGUGAGGCUAUUUUUUUGGUUUUUGUUGUAAAGGGUUGAAAUCAACUUCCUUGGCAGCUAGUUGAAUAAGUCAUAUCCUUUGAGUUCAGUUCAUUGGAAGUGAUAUAGUCGCUUGAUUUUCUUGUCAUCAGUAAAGAGACAGAUAUGGAUCAAUGUUGUAUUCAUAAACUUGUUUAAGUAGUUCUAAUCAUUGGAUAGGUGUUAAUUCAUAUUGUUAAUUAUUUAUACUUCUCUUAAACGUAUUGGAUAUGAUUGGCUUCCCUUUUAGCUCGUUGAGGAUCCUUCUCCCAUUUCUCUUUUGAAUUGAUGACAUGAAUAUUGUUUAUUUUUGUAUUAGUUUCUAUAAAAUCCAUUUCUCGCUUGUUCUCGUUUAAUUUUUAGAUUAGUGUGUCUGUUGAGAAAGAUAUGUUUACCAUAACUCGAGUCUAUAUCUUUUUUGCAUGAUGAAUCUGUUGCAACCAUAAGUCCAGCUUGUAUGCCUCAUAAGUACCGGACCAAUUGGAGCGCUUUCUUAAUCACGUUAGAUUUCAUCUUUGAAUCUGUUUGGGUAAAAAUGCUUAGACUUUUAGCAAUGGUUAAAAUGUCAUGACCUUUAUUUUGCUACCCAAAGUAUUAAUAGACUCGAGAUCUUGUAUGGUUACCUCCCCUCGGCUCUAAUUUUCUCAUGAAUCCUUUAUUUUGACCAUGGUUCUUUAAGAUAUCCUUGUAUGUAUUCAAGAUUUUUGGCUCAUUCAAGUUGUUGGAAAUUGUCUUUCCAUUUGGGCAAUAAUCCCUUGGCCAUACCAAAUCUUUUGCUAUUCUGGUGGGAUGGAAUUUUCUUUCAAAGUACUGCAUAUGCUGGUUGUUUCAUUUGCUCUUUAAUGUUAUGUUUGAUUGGCUUUUAAUUAGUCUAUCUUGAGAACUUCUCCUUUUUUUUAAACAUUAUCAGUUGACUUCAUGGGUUUUAAAUGUUGUUGCUUAAAUUAGAGGUUGAUUUGUAUGUCUUUUACCAUGUAUAUGUAUUAAAUUGUUUGUUGAAAUAGGUCACUAGUAAAUAUGUGAAGUUAAAUAUACCACUAUACUGGAUCACCUAUUUUUGAGAUCCUAGUAUGAUCGGCUGCUAAUUUUUUAUCCUAUCUUCUGUGCAUGAACCUUAUCCGAGAUGAGUCCAAAUGGACUUCCAUUCCUGCAUUUUCCAAUGGGCCAAAGAGGACUAUAUCAUCUUCGAGUUUAAGCCUCCUACAAGUCCGAAAUGGACUAAACAUAUGAAGAAAUAGGGUUGUAUACAUGGAUAUCCAACAGUAUAUAGAGGAUAUACGACAAGAAUUGAGGAAUGAAAGCAAAUAUAAAGGUGGAAGACAAAGGAUAUAUGCAUUUAUACAAUCAUAUACAUAGAUGUACAACCAUUAUACAAGAAAUACAAAGAGUAUACCUCUGGUAUACAGCCAAUAUACAACAGUAAAGAUGGACCCAAAGUACAUGAAUAGGCCCAAAGGCUGGCCAGAUUUGAAAUGGGCCCAAAAGAGGGUCCAAAUCUGUACUUCUCUCCCUCUAUUUCCUUGUGUUAAUUUAAUUAGGAAAAAUUACACAAUAUAGACAAAAUUCUAUAUUAAUUACAUAAUAUGGUUAAUAUUUUAGAAAAUUACAAUUUAUAGUCAUUUGGUAGCUUAAAAUCAGUUUAUUGGUGGCGCCCUAUAUACACAUAUAUAAGAUUUGUAUAUACUGAUUUUAUCUCUAAAUGAUUUAUUUUUAAUAUUUUAUUUUUUCUCUCUCUAUAUUCUAUUGGUUGAAUAAAUGGCAACAACGGGAUUAUCAAAACUCAAGAUUAUUGUAGAUAUGCUCUUCAACUUUCUUUUUCUUAAUUUUUUCUCAAAAUCGCAUAUACUCUCUCCUUGAUUUUCCAUUGAAGAAUAAAUAACCUUGGCAACAUCAUAAUACACAAUUAUUCAAAAGAUCUUCAAGUUUUUUCUAUUUGUUUUGCGCUCAAAAUCACUAUAAUAUCACGGAAUAUCAUCAAUGAUUGUUCUUUGGAAAAUCGUUUUGGCGGAUUUGUCAUCAUAUAAAAUCAGUUUAUGAUAUUUAUUGAAGAUUUGAGGUAAUCUUUUAGUAUUUUUUUGUUUUUAGAUUUAAUUUCUUUUUUAUUUUGAGGUAAUCUUUUAGAAUUUUUUGUUAUUAGAUUGUUCAUCUAUUUUGCAUUUUUUUUAUUAGGGUUUGAAGUUAUCAAUUACUACUUGUUUCAAAUGGAUGAAGAAACCCCUAAUAGGAGAUUGACAAGAGGUCUUGAAUACAGAAAUGAAAAUCGAUGUUCAAGCUGCUUCGGUUAUGAGUUAGAAAAAUAAAUUGAUGAAUCGAAAAACCCAAAGAAGAAUGGUGCUGAUGUUGAAAUAAAAGAUCAUCCUUUUGAGCAGACUGAAGUUUUGAAUACAUAAAUGAAAAUUAAAGUUCAAACUGUCUCGGUUACUGAGUUAGGAAACGCAAAGAAGAUCGAUGCUGCAUAUAAAAUAAAAGCUCAUCAUGUUGAGCAGACUAAAGUAUGAGUAUCUUUUAUUCUGUAAUUUUUUAUUUUGGUUCAUUUUUUUAGUUUUUUUUUAAAAAUGUUUGUGGUUAUAUUUAUUUUAGGUGGAUGAAUGCACAGUUGAACGUGUAGAUGAUCACGUUUGUCAAAUGAAGUUAUAGAUAGUUAAUUUCCAAAGAGAUUUAAUCAUUCAAUAUCAUGAGAAUCAGGACUUGGUUGCAGCUUCUAUUCAUAUAGCUGACCUUGUUGAUAUUGAGCAACACAAGUCUACUCAAUAUCUAACGGAAUCGCAGGAUUUCAUUCCUGAUGAUUUGCUCCCAAGUUUGAACAUCGAGAGAGAUUAUAGCUAUAAUUAUGAUAUAUGAUUCCAUUCCUAUAAUUAUGGUAUAGGAAGGUAUUUUUAAAGUUGAUUUAUUGUAACAGUUUUAUGACUUGAUUCUUUUUUUUUUGAAACAGCAUAGUAUUUAUACAAAGUUGUUUUAAUAUUUAAUAUAUAUAUACACUGUUUUGGUUUCAACUAUCAUGAGUCACAAAUGAUGAAUGCUUUUUAAAAAGUUUCUGUUCUCCACCAUUAAUAUCGUAAGACGGAAAUUUACUGCAAGUUUGUGUAUGAAAUCUUUUAUAUAUACAUUCACUGUUUUGAUUUCAACA